rnacentral:rRNA from 1 species
UUCCAAUGGGCGAAGCCUGAUGCAGCGACGCCGCGUGGGUGAUGAAGGUUUUCGGAUCGUAAAACCCUUUUCUGUGUGACGAGGAAGGACGGUAGCACAGGAAUAAGUGUCGGCUAACUACGUGCCAGCAGCCGCGGUAAUACGUAGGACGCAAGCGUUAUCCGGAAUUACUGGGCGUAAAGAGCGUGUAGGCGGUUGUCCAAGUCACCCGUGAAAGCUCCCGGCUAAACUGGGAGAGGUCGGGUGAGACUGGAUGGCUAGAGGGUUGUAGAGGGGUGUGGAAUUCCGGGUGUAGUGGUGAAAUGCGUAGAGAUCCGGAGGAACACCAGAGGCGAAGGCGGCACCCUGGACAACACCUGACGCUGAGACGCGAAAGCGCGGGGAGCAAACGGGAUUAGAGACCCCGGUAGUCCGCGCCGUAAACGAUGUGCGCUAGACGUUCGUCUUCCUACGGGGGGAUGAGCGUCGAAGCCAACGCGAUAAGCGCACCGCCUGAGGAG